rnacentral:lncRNA from 10 species
GUGCUUCAAACGCCUUGAGGAUAAGGAAGGAGAAUCAGCAAGUCCCGAGUUCCUACGGUGUGUCAGCAUCGUGCUCCCACUCCCGGGAGAGAGGCAUUAUCUUCAGUUUACAAAAGGGGAAAACAGGUCUGGGGUUUCCAGAGUCCGCGGUUUUGCUAAGAAGCCGCAGUGAUGUUGACGCGGCUGGUCCUCAGUGCACACCUGAGUAGCACGACCUCUCCGCCCUGGACGCACGCUGCCAUCAGCUGGGAGCUGGACAACGUGCUGAUGCCUAGUCCCAGAAUCUGGCCCCAGGUGACUCCAACAGGCAGGUCUGCCUCUGUCAGGAGUGAGGGUAACACCUCCUCACUCUGGAAUUUCUCAGCUGGGCAGGAUGUGCAUGCCAUAGUAACCAGAACCUGUGAGUCUGUGCUGAGCUCUGCCGUCUACACCCACGGCUGUGGCUGUGUGAGGUCUGCCACAAACAUUACCUGUCAGUCCUCAGGACAACAAAGGCAGGCGGCCCGGCAGGAAGAGGAGAACUCAAUCUGCAAGGCCCAUGAUAGUAGAGAGGGCCGCCUGGGCUACCCCCUCAGUGCCCAUCAGCCUGGUUCCGGUGGUCCUAACUAG